GGUCGCGGCGCCCCGGGGCUCGGCCCCUGCCCUGCCGCCGCCGCCGCCUCUCUCCUGGCCCCGGGGCAGCGAGCAGCGGGCGGCGAUGUCGGAGGCGGGCGGAAGCGGCGAGCUGCCCUCCCCGCGGUGUUCCGGCCCGGGCUCCAGCCGCCCCUCGCUGCCCCCCGGCUCCCGCAACGGUUCCGCGUCGCAGCGCAGGCAGCAGCGGCUCUCCGGCGGGCUCGGCCGCCCGCAGGCCGCCGGGGAAGACGACGAGGAGGAGGAAGAGGAGGAGGAGGAGGAGGAGGAAGGAGAGGGGCCGCGGGGGUCGGAGGGCCGCGAGGGCAGCGUGGACGAGCGCAGAAGGAGGAUGAUCCGCAACCAGUACCGGGAGCUGAUCUGCAGCGUGCAGCAAAAUCGUGAGGAUAUGCUGAGUUCAAAAAGCAACAGGCUGACAGAAGCUUUGGAAGAAGCCAAUAAACUGUUCAGUGGAGUUUCUUGUGCACGAGAGGCUGCGCUGGAUGCCCAAUUUCUUGUCUUAGCAUCAAAUCUAGGAAAGGAGAAAGCUAAUGAGUUGCGCUCAGAGAUGACAACAUUUGAUUCACUGACAUUUGCAGAAGACUUGCUAACAUUCAUGGGUAUAAAUCGUAUAGAAGUAGACGGAAAUGAUAGCGAUACCGAGAACAUUUCAGCUGGCUAUUUACCUAGUAAUGCCUGGCAUAAGCUGGGAGAAGAAGCAGAAAAGUACUUCAGAAGAGCACCUUCUUUUCACUACAUGUUGGGAUCUUUCAAGUCUGAUCCUCCUGUACCAAGGCAACGGAUUGAGAGGCAGAAAAAGGCUGCAGGAGGAGAAGAAAAACGGGCAAUGCCUGCUCAGCUAAAAAAAAUGGAGGAGUCUCAUCAGGAAGCUACAGAAAAAGAAGUAGAGAGGAUCUUGGGAUUACUACAGACUCACUUUAAAAAUGAUCCUUCUACACCUAUUCUCUUCUUUGAUCUUGUGAUUGAUCCAAACUCUUUUGCACGCACUGUGGAAAACAUCUUCCAUGUGUCCUUCAUUAUAAGGGAUGGUCUUGCAAGAUUAAAGCUGGAUGAUGAUAAAUUGCCAGUAAUAGAGCCCGUAAAAAACAACGAAGGAAGAAAGGAUGAUGACCAUAGUAAUCGAGCACGGAACCAAGUUGUCAUUUCCCUGAGCUAUCAAGAAUGGAAGGACAUUGUAGAAACAUUUGAAAUAACAGAACCCAUGAUCAGCCCUCCUUCUUACAGUAAUGAAGAUGAAAUGGAGAUAGCUUAAUUCUUCAAGUGCCUUAAAGAAAAAUAUUUUAAAAUGUUACCUUCAAAUAAGAUUUUAUAUGUAUAUAUUGUAAUAUUAAAUUUAUUUUUAUUGGAACAUUCUGGUACUUUAUAUACGCUGUAUUGUUUUCACAUGACACAGUUAUCAUAUCCUUUCAAUUUAUUAUGGCUCUAUUUAUGGCUUUCUGUAAACUUUACUGACACUGCUAAAAGCUUUCAUAAAAAUGAAAUGCUGCCCCCCCUUUCAUUCAUUGUCUCUCACCAAUAACAGCCUGCAAGGGGAAUUUACAUGGUUAACCAUCUCUGCUGGGAUAAUCUUGUUACCUAGGUGGUGUUGGGUACCACAGGAGAAAUGAGACAGAAAGACAGUAUCAUCAUCAAAUCUAGAUUCAACUUCGGAAAUUUUAGUCUCAGAAUUAGGAAAAAAGGAAGGAGGAAUUUUUAUCUGUAAGUUUAUCGUAUCAUAGAAUCACAGAAUAUCCCAAGUUGGAACGGACCCACAAGGAUUAUCAAGUCCAACUCCUGGCUCCACACAGGGCCCCCCAAAAAUCAAUCCUAUGCCUGAGGGCGUUGUCCAGAUGCUUCUUGAACUCCUGCAGCUCGGUGCUGUGACCACUGCCCUGGGGAGCCUGUCCCAGUGCCCGACCACCUCUGGGUGCAGAACCUUUCCCUAACACCCAGCCUGACCCUCCCCUGUCCCAGCUCCAUGCUGUCCCCUCGGGUCCUGUCGCUGUCCCCAGAGAGCAGAGCUCAGCGCCUGCCCCUCUGCGCCCCUCGUGAGGGAGCUGCAGGCCGCCAUGAGGCCUGCCCUCGGCCUGCUCUGCUCUAGGCUGAACAAACCCAGGGCCCUCAGCCGAUACUCGUGUUUUCCGCUUUAGACCCUUCACCAUCUUUGUAGCCCCCCUUUGGACACUUUCCAAUAGUUUUAUGUUGUUUUUAUACUGUGAUGCCCCAAACUGCACCCAGCACUUGAGGUGAGGCCACAGCAUUGCAGAGCAGAGCAGGACAAUCCCUCCCUCGCCCAGCUAGCCAUGCUGUGCUUGAUGCACCCAGGACACUGCUGGCCUUUUGGCUGUCACUGCACACUGCUGGCUCGUGUUCAUCUUGUCAUUGACCAGAACCCCCAGACCCCUUCCUGUGGGGCUGCUCUCCAGCCGCUCAUUCCCCAGUCUGUACAUCCAGCCGGGGCUGCCCUGGCCCAGGUGCAGAAUCCAGCACUUGCUCUUGUUAAACUUGAUACCGACGGUGAUUGCCCAGCUCUCUAACUUGUCAAGAUCUCUCUGCAAGGCCUCUCUACUAUCAGGGGAGGCAGCAGCUCCUCCUAAUUUAGUGUCAUCUGCAAACUUAGUAUGCAUUUGAGUCCUGCAUCCAAAUCAAUUAUAAAAAUGUUGAAGGGAACUGGCCCUAAAAUAGAGCCCUGGGGAACCUCACAGGUGACUGGCUGCCAGCCUGAUGUAACCCCAGUUACUGUAACCCUUUGAGCUUGACCCAUCCGCCAAUUGUUCACCCAUUGUGUUAUGUAUCUGUCUAGUUGUAUGCUGGACAUCUUGUCCAGAAAGAUACUGUGAGAGACAGCAUGAAAGCUUUGCUGAAAUAUGAAAAGACUACAUCUACUGGCUUCCCUUGGUCAACUAGGUGUUUCUCAGUAACUCCCAGAGUAAUCUCCAUAAUUUUACCAGGCACUGAAGUGAGACUGGCAGGCCUGUAAUUGCCAGGGUCUUCUUUCUUGAAAACUAGAACAACGUUUACCAGCUUCCACUCAACUGGGACCUUUCCAGAUUCCCAAGACCAUUGAAAAAUAUUUGAGAGGUCUCAUAGUGACAUCAGCCAGCUCUUUGAGUACCCUGGGAUGAAUCCCAUUGGGCCCUGUAGACUUCCAUGUAUCCAGCUGGAGCAGCGAGUCCUGUACAAGUUCGGUGUCGGUAUCGUUACUGCAGUUACAGUUCUCCAACUCAGGACUCUGGAGGUCUCAGAGCCCAUCACUGCUGUUGAAGACAGAGGUGAAGAAGGUAUUUCAUGUCUAUUUUAUCUAUGUCUGUUUUUGUGAGGUGACCAUCCUCACUAAGUAAUGGACCAAUGCUAUUUCUGGUCCUCCUUUUGUUAUUAACAUAUUUUAAAAAGCCCUUUUUAUUGUCCUACACCGUACUGGCCAGCUUCAACUCUAACUGAGCUUUGGCACACAAAUUUUCUCCCUACGAUGGUGAACAGCAUCUCUGUAGUCCUACCAUGUCAGCUAACCUUGCUUCUGGUGGCCAUACGCUCUGUUCUUCCACCAGAGCUCUAGAAGAUCCCUGCAUAUCAAGCUGACCUUCUGUCCUGCCUGCUUGACUUCCAACAUUUUGGAAUUGCCUAUUCCUGUGCUGGUAAGAUAUACUUCGAAAUUGACCAGCAUGGAUGGACCCCAAUGCCUUCAAAUGCAGUUUCCCAGGGGCCCUUACGAACUAGUUCCCUGAGGAGCCUGCAGUGUGCUCUCCCCAUAUCCAGGGUUGAAAUUUCGGUGGCAGUUCUCCUAUCACCAGACAUUUUAAACUCGCUGACUUUGUGGUCAUUAUGGUGAAGAUGGCCACGUGUAUUUGGUUUUGUAACUUAGGUAGGACAGCUAUGUUAGGCCAUAGCUUUUAUUGUCUUUAAAAGAAAUAAAACUUUGCUCCGUCUCUAGAAAA